AAAGUCGUAACAAGGUUUCCGUAGGUGAACCUGCGGAAGGAUCAUUACACUUAGGUGCUCCGAAAGGACCCUCUGCUGCCGUAAGGUGGCAACCACACCCUCUGUCUACCUGUACCUCUUGUUGUUUCCUCGGCAGGCCGCUUACGCCAGCCGCUAGGAAUACCUUCAACCCUUGUAUCUAAAGUAUCUGAAACUCUGAUAACAAAACAAACAAAUCACAACUUUCAACAAUGGAUCUCUUGGUUCUG
rnacentral:misc_RNA from 1 species